rnacentral:rRNA from 1 species
UACGGGGGGGGGCAAGCGUUGUUCGGAAUUACUGGGCGUAAAAGGCUCGUAGGCGGCCAACUAAGUCAGACGUGAAAUCCCUCGGCUUAACCGGGGAACUGCGUCUGAUACUGGAUGGCUUGAAUCCGGGAGAGGGAUGCGGAAUUCCAGGUGUAGCGGUGAAAUGCGUAGAUAUCUGGAGGAACACCGGUGGCGAAGGCGGCAUCCUGGACCGGCAUUGACGCUGAGGAGCGAAAGCCAGGGGAGCAAACGGG